UAGGGAAUCUUCGGCAAUGGGGGCAACCCUGACCGAGCAACGCCGCGUGAGUGAAGAAGGUUUUCGGAUCGUAAAGCUCUGUUGUAAGAGAAGAACGUGUGUGAGAGUGGAAAGUUCACACAGUGACGGUAACUUACCAGAAAGGGACGGCUAACUACGUGCCAGCAGCCGCGGUAAUACGUAGGUCCCGAGCGUUGUCCGGAUUUAUUGGGCGUAAAGCGAGCGCAGGCGGUUUAAUAAGUCUGAAGUUAAAGGCAGUGGCUUAACCAUUGUUCGCUUUGGAAACUGUUAAACUUGAGUGCAGAAGGGGAGAGUGGAAUUCCAUGUGUAGCGGUGAAAUGCGUAGAUAUAUGGAGGAACAUCGGUGGCGAAAGCGGCUCUCUGGUCUGUAACUGACGCUGAGGCUCGAAAGCGUGGGGAGCAAACAGG
rnacentral:rRNA from 1 species